rnacentral:rRNA from 1 species
GGGUGAGUAACACGUGAGUAAUCAACCCUCGAAUUUGGGAUAACACUCCGAAAGGAGUGCUAAUACCGGAUAAGACCACAUCCUGUAAGCAGGAAGGGGUAAAAGAUGGCCUCUCCAUGGAAGCUAUCGUUUGAGGACGAGCUCGCGGACCAUUAGCUUGUUGGUAGGGUAAUGGCCUACCAAGGCUGCGAUGGUUAGCUGGUCUGAGAGGACGAUCAGCCACACUGGAACUGAGACACGGUCCAGACUCC